rnacentral:tRNA from 1 species
CAGAAAAUAGUUCAAUUAAGAAUUCUGGCUUUGGGAGCCAGGGGUGAGAGUUUGAAAUCUCUUUUUUCUGG